GGGAUUCUCCACGGAGUGGAAGUGUCCUUCAGACAGAGCUGGAGAGGAGGGCUGAGAAUAUCGUCUCCACAAAGCUCCAAGGAGUGUUUGAGGUGGAAGAUAUGGUAAACAUCCCAAGCCAGUGACGGCACCACCCCGCUCCCCAAAGAUGAACAACUAUAAUGCAAGUCACACAAUGAAGUCAGGUGUCUGCAAAGAAACAAAGAAAAACAACUUUGGGCCCAGAUGCUUGUACUAGCGAAUCUUCCCAAACGUUUAAGGAAGAAAUCAUGUGGACCUCGAUGAGAAAAGAUGGAGCGUGCCCAAGCUGGUUCUCGGAGGAGGAAGGCUGCAUUCUGAUGCCAGACCCUGGCAAGGAGACUGUGAGAAAGAAGAUUACAUGCCAAUUUCCCUCAUGAACAUUGUAUAAAAAUCUUGAAACACUUGCAAAUCAAUUGAUGCGUGAGUGGGUUAAUGUUCCGAGAGCCUGGGUAACUCGCCACACUAACAGAAGUGGAAGGCAUUGUAACAUUUAUUUGUUAAAAAGAAUAAAACAGAAAGUCCAGCCAUGGAAAAACUGCCUGGCAAGCUAGAAACGGAGGAGUGCUUUUUAAUGUGAAAGAGGCUUCCUUGGAGUCUUACAGUAAACACCAUAUUUAACAGUGAACUAUGAAAGACUUCCCCUUUGAGACUCAGAAUGGAACAGAGAUACUCAGAGCCUCUUGUUCAGUGAAGACUGGAUAUUUUGCAGAAUGGCAUGGGGAGGGAAAUUAAGUAAAAGCCUUCAAGGGUUAGAAAAGGAAAAGAAAAAAAAAACCUCUCAUUAUUUAAAGAGAUAAGUGUGUACAAAGAAAACUCAAAAGAAUUUUGAGUUUUAAAAUUAACAGGAGGAUUUAGUGAGGGGACUGGCUACAAGCAAGGCUGGUGGUUUAAAAUCUAUUUUAUUCCAAUGCCAGAAAUAAAUAGAAUAUUAAAUUAUAGCAUCUGGGUAUGCUUUAAAUUAAUAUUUGUAUUUUGUGAGACAAAAUAAAAAAUGAUGAGAUAAAGAUUAU
rnacentral:lncRNA from 1 species